CACCAUGGCUGUGAUCUGUUCCGGUGGUCCAAUCUAGGAUGAUCCUGUUAUUUUUGCGCUGAAAGGAUCACCCGGUAACCUUGCAUAUUCCGUUGAAGAAGCUGCAAGCUAGAAGAAUGUUAGGUUAGAUGUGUGCAAAGAUGUUUAUUGGCUUUUCUUUUGUUCCUGGCUGGAAAGAGUGUAGUAGUCAAAUUUUGUUCA